UGUUUUGCUGGGACCAAAGGAUUUGGGCACAGACUGGAUCUACCUGAAAUCUACCUAAAUCCUCCUGAAAAUGGAUAUCUUCCCAUUGUGAUUGGGACCUCAGCCAUCAGUGUUCUCCCUCUCUUCCUCCUCUUCCUCCUCCUCUGCCAUUGCUGGUGUCGAGCCAAACACAGUGGUGUCUCAGUGGAUAUCGCCUCUGAGGGGGACAGACAGAUGGACAUGGAGGCCCUCCCAGAGGAAGACCCACAGGACGUGAUCUCUGUUCAGCAACACUGAGAUUCCCUGAUGGGGAGUGUGGAUUCAGAGUUCUCCUGCACCCUUGAGGAAUCCUUGUGAUAGCCCUGUGUGUAUAUCACCCUCCCCUGGUCUUGAGUGCAGAGCCAGAACUGGCCAUGUGGACUCCAGCGCUUAAGGGCCCCUUAAGGAAGAUGCGGCGUCCCACUCGUGUCCCCCACAGCAGCAGCAUCUUGGAGCUCCCCAAAGACUCAAGAAUAGAGAAGCCUUGUCACCUGUCAAGAAAUUCUGGGAUGCAUCGCAUCCCUCAACCGAUUCCUGGUUCCUUCUGUUUUUAUCCCCUCAUUUGCUUAUUUAACAGAUAUUCGCAGAAGUUGACUCUUCCUUUGCACCUGUGCUGAGGAGGGACAGAUCAGUAGGACACAGCUCCUGGUCUUAAGGAGUGCCUGGCCUCCUGAGAGAGGCAAACCUUAUGAUCGCUUGGACCCUUAGAAAGCAAAGAGGGGGUGAGCUACUGGAGCAGGGGAAGGAUGAUGUGGGCGACACAGGAAUACUCAUCCGGGUGCAUUUAAGGAGGACCCACAGGUACCCAACGCAAGGAGAAGUCAAGAAGACAUAGGAGUCAAACUGGGCGGGAGGGAGUUCCUGGUGGCAUUUUGCUCCAAUGCUCUAGGUUUUGUGUGAGCUGAAGCCUUCAGAGCAGCAAAAGGCGAACAAGAAAGAUUCUUUGUAAAGGAACCAAAUUGCAACUAUUUGACCAGAAGAAGGAUUUCUCUUGGGGAGGGGAAUGGUGCAGAGGGUGUUUGGGGGGGGUAUGGUUUCCCUCUAGUUUUGGUGAAUUUCACUUUUUAGUUAUGCAAUGAAAAGAAAUAGAAUACAAUAUAACGAGAUGGGAGUGGCAGGAGAGGAAUUGGAGUUGGUAUUAAAGUAGAUGCGAAUGAUUACAUUUGAGAUGGAUGAGCAGUGAGGUCCUACAGUACAGCACAGGGGACUCUGUCCAGUCUCUUGGGAGAGACUAUGAUGGAAGAUAAUAGGAGAAAAAGAAUUUGUGUGACUGGGGCACUCUGCUGCACAGCAGAAAUUGGCACAACACUGUAAUAAAAAACCAAAAAAAAUACAAAAAAAUUCAGUUCAGUUUUGGCACCAGGACGUAGAGAAGAAAGUUAAUGGCAGGGCCAGUGAAAUACAGCACAGUGGUUUGGAGUGGAGAGUAGGAGUAAGAGAGGGAAAUCGAGCAUGCGUGUUGAUUGAUGGAAAGAAAUAUGGGGAGCGCAUAAUGUGGAUGAUAUUGGGGAGUGACCAUCAGUGGGACAGGGUAGCAUUGAGAGCCCCGACUCGGGAAUAGAUGGGUUAACCUGGGUUCAGAUUUCUCCUUCUGUACCCACUUGCUGCACGGUCACGCACACACUUCAAAAUGAUUCUCUGAGCCAGAAGGACACUUGUCAUUGAUGGAGGAGGAAAUCCAAGCUCAUGCGAGCACGGGCUAAGAUGCAAUCUUUUCGGAAUUAGAGAAAUAAAGAUUCCAACAACGACAUGCCGUUGCUUCCCUUCCAUCUGCUAUGAUGGAAUUGCGGCCACCUCCAAACUCCUAUGUCAAAUGUCGCAACCCCCAGGACCUCAGAAUGGGGCCUUCUUUGGAAAUGAGGUCAUCGCAAGUGUGCUUACCCAGGAUGAAGACAUACUGGAGCAGGACGGCUUCUCACCCAGCAUGACUUGUGUCCUUAUUUAAAAACAAGGAAACGAUGGAGUUCCUGUUGUGGUGCAGCGGAAAUGAAUCUGACCGGAACCAUGAGGUUGCAGGUUCCAUCACUGUGUCCUCGCUCCGUGGGUUAAGGAUCUGGUGUUGCCGUGAGCCGUGGUGCAGGUCGGAGACGUGGCUUGGAUCCCGCGUUGCCGUGGCUAUGGCGUAGGCUGGCGGGGGCAGCUCUGAUUCUACCCCUAGCCUAGGAACCUCCAUAUGCCGCGGGGGAGGCCCUAAAAAGAAAAAAAAAAAAA
rnacentral:lncRNA from 1 species